rnacentral:other from 1 species
GAAUCCCUGCCGUGUUCGCGUAUAUGUCGCUGUUAUAUAAUCCAACACUUUCCAAAAGGGAGUCCGGCUCUGUGUCAACGAUUGCAGACCUCCCGGCCUUGUGCCGGACGAAGGGAGCAUGAACGCCACAGGAGGACACCCACCUGUCGUAAGACGGGUUUUAUGUGGCGACAUACGGCGUGGCGGGGUAUUU